AAGUUUGAGGUGUGCACAAAGGAAAGUCGAACACGCUCAGUGAAGAAACGUGAACGCUCGAGGGAAACGAUGCUGCCCGAAGUGCGUACGACGGUAUUAGUGCGUAAAUUCGGGCACUGUGCGCAAAGUUGAACACGCAGUCACAAGUCGACGUGCAAAGAUGGAGGUACGCAGAUUUCAGGCUGCAAAGUCUGGCCGGUGGCAGUUGCAAUCGGUUGACAGUUUAAUUGAGUUGCAUUAUAUUGCGAGCACGUUAUAAUGCGGAACGUUCUACGCACAAAGCCGAACGCGCAAUUUUUUAUGCGGAGGAAUUGGAUAUGCAAAGAUUAGCACGCGAAGUUCAACGCGCAAAGUUGGGUGCACAAGAAAAUCCAACGCGCAAAGUUCAACGCGGAAAGGUUAUUGCUGUAUAAAGUUAGAUAUGUAAAGCUGAACACGCAAAGUGUAGCGUACAAAGGCGGGGCCGCAACACAACUAAAGACACAAGGCCCAGCACGCAAACUGCAAUAUUCAAUGCGGAACAAAUUUAAGACUUCAAAUGUAAGGUCGUAAAUUCGCGCACGGUGCGCAAAGUUGAGCACGCAGUCACAAGACGAGGUGCAAAGUUUGAGGUGCGCACAAAGGCUGG
rnacentral:lncRNA from 1 species